rnacentral:misc_RNA from 1 species
GUGAAACACUUGUAAGAUCAAUAACUGGCAAAUCAUUUCCAGAAUUGGCAAUCAAAAGAUUAGAGGUAUCGAUGCCCGCUAGCUUUCCAGUUCCAUCCUUCAACUUGGAUAUAAUCUCAAUCAGUUCAGGGUAUGUGACAUCAUUAAUAGAAGGCAAGUCAUUAGCAGCCAACACAACCUGAGUUCCACGUCGAAGUAGCUCCCUUGCAAAGGGCAAAAUACCCAAAAUUAUAUCUGCACCAGAAUUAUCAACAAAGAUGACAGCCUUUUUCCAAGAUUUCUUGCUCCAUUUCACUUUGAAGGUGUCUAAAUCAUCAAUAACCCAAGGUCGAGAGACAAGAUUUUGACAACUAGCCAAAAAGGACAUUCCAUCCCUUGAGAAAACCUCAGCAAGCUGUGCAGAACCAAGGUCAAAUAUAUUUCCUGCAAAUAUUCCUUUAACCAGAUUCUCUAGACGCUUUGUUCCAUCUUCAAUAGCAUCAUUAAGACAAACAACAUCCUCAAAUAGAGAUAUAGCUUUUGCAUUCUCUUCAUCCUUGACUUUUUUGAAUAUGUCUCUAAAUCCCAAUUCUCUUAGUACUUGCUCCCGCAGUCUGCACAGAAGAAUGCAAUCAGGGGGACCACCAUGACUUUCAGGAUCUUUCUUUAAGUCCUCAAGGAUCUCAGAAUACCUUUGAGCAAACUUUUGAGCUUUGGCAGGAGCAUCAGCAACUGUAGUAUCACUUUCAGCACGUUUCUUGAAAGAGGGGAUGGAAUUGUAGAAGAGGUCAAUCCAUUGAAGCUCAGUAGGAGUAGGCUUUCUGGGAUUAUCAGAAGGGAACCUAUAGGGAAUAGUGCAAACUCUGUAGUUGGAUUCGAUCGGCGUCAAUAGCAACGGGAAAGCUACCAUUUCCGAUGUGCUUUCCAUUGUUUUUCUUCUUUGGAUUGCCUUUCUUCUAAUUUGUGCUCUUCUCUGAUUUUUUAUUUCUCAAUGAGAG